rnacentral:rRNA from 1 species
UACGUAGGGUGCAAGCGUUAAUCGGAAUUACUGGGCGUAAAGCGUGCGCAGGCGGUUUUGUAAGACAGGUGUGAAAUCCCAGGGCUUAACCUUGGAACUGCAUUUGUGACUGCAUAGCUAGAGUACGGUAGAGGGGGAUGGAAUUCCGCGUGUAGCAGUGAAAUGCGUAGAUAUGCGGAGGAACACCGAUGGCGAAGGCAAUCCCCUGGACCUGUACUGACGCUCAUGCACGAAAGCGUGGGGAGCAAACGGG